AGACUCGUCACAUCCUUGUUGUUGAAAGGUUUGGUUAUAAAAAGUCAUUCGUAUGACAACUUUGAAUUGAUACAUAUUUAUUUAGAGGAUUGUGCUUCGUCAGUGGAAGACUAUGAAGUUUACCGUGAGUGAUUUUGUGGGAAGAGACUAUGUGCUUCUUUAUUUGAUAUUUUAUAUUGGCAAGAGGUUUUGUGAGAGAGCUGACUUGGAUAUUCCUAUUUCUGAUCAACUUCAUAUCGACUACGAGCUCGACGUUUGAAAUUGAUUAACUGAAGACCUUUCCUAAAAUGUUUGAUCUCAAUAGUUUUAAAAAUAAGAUUUUAACUUACUUGAGAAUUAUAAAAUCCUGGAUUUUAAAACAAAUUGGAAAAAGAAGAAUAACAAUUAAUAUUGGAUAAAUAAUGCUGUAUCAAGAUAACUUCAGAUAACUACACAAAUGUAACUCCAAAGCACCUUUGAAGCCUUUUUAAUGUUUUAAAUCUAUGUUAUAUAUAAAACGUCGCAUAAGUUAUUUUAUAAAGAAUACAUAGUAUUAUUUUAAAUGUUAAAGUAAAUAGCGUUUUAUAAU